GAAACAGCAGGGAGUUUAUUUUUGUAGCAAGGUUGGAUGGAGAAGAAAGUUCAGGAAGUAAAACAAGGUAAUAGCAGUAGAAGAGUGGCUGGUCAGGCAGCAGCCUGGGAGGAGUGAAGAGCCAGCCCUGUGUGUUCCCACAGUCUACAGAACUUUUGGUCAGCCAAGCAUGCUACUGCACAUCCCACUGAUGCACAUAUUGAUAUCAUGCCAGUUGGACCUGGAGAGCGAAGAGUAGCAAGUGCUCUGGAUGCCUGGAGAAAAUACAGAAGUGCCAGAAUACAACUGACCCUCCAAAUGGAGCUGAAGAAAAUGAAUUGUCCAGAAGGCAGACCACCAAAAAGAAAGAGACAAGAAAGAGCGAACCUGGGUAAUUCAUAAGCUGAAAGAUCAGAGCUUAAAAACCUCUUUCUACUUUUGGAUUGGGUUGUUCAAAAGUCUACUUAGAAGCUCAAACAACUGGGGGAGGACUCAAGAUGGCACUGUGAGAACAACCCAGGAUUGGAGCUCUCGUUGAAUCCGCAAAGAGGUGAGUCUGAGCUGCAUUUCCAGACUGAUCUUUGUUGCCCACAGAACGGGGAAACUCCCAAGCAUAAAAAAGACACGGGAUGCCAGGCAGCAGCCGGCCCUACCCAG
rnacentral:lncRNA from 13 species